rnacentral:rRNA from 2 species
GCGUGCUUACACAUGCAGUCGAACGGUGAACACGGAGCUUGCUCUGUGGGAUCAGUGGCGAACGGGUGAGUAACACGUGAGCAACCUGCCCCUGACUCUGGGAUAAGCGCUGGAAACGGCGUCUAAUACUGGAUAUGUGACGUGACCGCAUGGUCUGCGUCUGGAAAGAAUUUCGGUUGGGGAUGGGCUCGCGGCCUAUCAGCUUGUUGGUGAGGUAAUGGCUCACCAAGGCGUCGACGGGUAGCCGGCCUGAGAGGGUGACCGGCCACACUGGGACUGAGACACGGCCCAGACUCCUACGGGAGGCAGCAGUGGGGAAUAUUGCACAAUGGGCGCAAGCCUGAUGCAGCAACGCCGCGUGAGGGACGACGGCCUUCGGGUUGUAAACCUCUUUUAGCAGGGAAGAAGCGAAA